rnacentral:rRNA from 1 species
GUCGAACGCGUUGGCCCAAUUGAUUGAUGGUGCUUGCACCUGAUUGAUUUUGGUCGCCAACGAGUGGCGGACGGGUGAGUAACACGUAGGUAACCUGCCCAGAAGCGGGGGACAACAUUUGGAAACAGAUGCUAAUACCGCAUAACAGCGUUGUUCGCAUGAACAACGCUUAAAAGAUGGCUUCUCGCUAUCACUUCUGGAUGGACCUGCGGUGCAUUAGCUUGUUGGUGGGGUAACGGCCUACCAAGGCGAUGAUGCAUAGCCGAGUUGAGAGACUGAUCGGCCACAAUGGGACUGAGACACGGCCCAUACUCCUACGGGAGGCAGCAGUAGGGAAUCUUCCACAAUGGGCGCAAGCCUGAUGGAGCAACACCGCGUGAGUGAAGAAGGGUUUCGGCUCGUAAAGCUCUGUUGUUAAAGAAGAACACGUAUGAGAGUAACUGUUCAUACGUUGACGGUAUUUAACCAGAAAGUCACGGCUAACUACGUGCCAGCAGCCGCGGUAAUACGUAGGUGGCAAGCGUUAUCCGGAUUUAUUGGGCGUAAAGAGAGUGCAGGCGGUUUUCUAAGUCUGAUGUGAAAGCCUUCGGCUUAACCGGAGAAGUGCAUCGGAAACUGGAUAACUUGAGUGCAGAAGAGGGUAGUGGAACUCCAUGUGUAGCGGUGGAAUGCGUAGAUAUAUGGAAGAACACCAGUGGCGAAAGGCGGCUACCUGGUCUGCAACUGACGCUGAGACUCGAAAGCAUGGGUAGCGAACAGGAUUAGAUACCCUGGUAGUCCAUGCCGUAAACGAUGAGUGCUAGGUGUUGGAGGGUUUCCGCCCUUCAGUGCCGGAGCUAACGCAUUAAGCACUCCGCCUGGGGAGUACGACCGCAAGGUUGAAACUCAAAGGAAUUGACGGGGGCCCGCACAAGCGGUGGAGCAUGUGGUUUAAUUCGAAGCUACGCGAAGAACCUUACCAGGUCUUGACAUCUUGCGCCAACCCUAGAGAUAGGGCGUUUCCUUCGGGAACGCAAUGACAGGUGGUGCAUGGUCGUCGUCAGCUCGUGUCGUGAGAUGUUGGGUUAAGUCCCGCAACGAGCGCAACCCUUGUUACUAGUUGCCAGCAUUAAGUUGGGCACUCUAGUGAGACUGCCGGUGACAAACCGGAGGAAGGUGGGGACGACGUCAGAUCAUCAUGCCCCUUAUGACCUGGGCUACACACGUGCUACAAUGGACGGUACAACGAGUCGCGAACUCGCGAGGGCAAGCAAAUCUCUUAAAACCGUUCUCAGUUCGGACUGCAGGCUGCAACUCGCCUGCACGAAGUCGGAAUCGCUAGUAAUCGCGGAUCAGCAUGCCGCGGUGAAUACGUUCCCGGGCCUUGUACACACCGCCCGUCACACCAUGAGAGUUUGUAACACCCAAAGUCGGUGGGGUAACCUUUUAGGAGCCAGCCGCCUAA